AAUAAAAUGCCUGAAUUAAAGGGUUAUCUUGAUAGGAUAAACUAUGCAAAAUUUUUUGCUUUUAUUA
rnacentral:tRNA from 1 species